CGCCCCCCUUCCCCGACUUCCCCUUUUUUUCUUUCUCGGGUUUGACAAUACUUAAUAGGUGCUGGCCCGGCCAUUUAGUAUUACCGUUGUUAUUCAUCUACCCCAACUCGCCUAGAGCUAUUUGUUUUGAAACCAUUAUCAUCUCAUGUUAUUCUGUGUACAUUCUUCUCACUGCUUCAAGUCGCAAUCCUAGCCAAAAGCAGAACCCGCUGUCGUGUCCCUAUUUUCCGUUCUUUGGACUUACACACAAAUUACACACACCGCUCUAGCUCAUGGAUGGCCUUCGCAUGCACCUUUAAUGCUGCCAUUACUGCCUGAACAGUUUACUUAUUUUCCAUUCUUCGGUACUUAAAUAUGUAUAUAAAUAUAUAUAAAAUAAAUCCAUACAAAUCCUGCAAACUAAUAGAAUGUCGUCGGUAUACCCAAUACGUCUUCAAACCACUGAUCAUCGCCCAAAUCCAUCGACUGCAUCCAGGACAUCUGACCU
rnacentral:sRNA from 2 species